rnacentral:sRNA from 1 species
CCACCCACUCUGCUCCCAGUGACUCAGCCGGCCUGCUCCGUCUCUUGAUUGCCUGUUAGUCGCUGUCCAGUGAUCUUUCAAAUGUGGACGUCGGAUUUUACGGCCUCUCUGCUUAAGCCCUUGGUUGCUUGGUGACAGAUUCAGAGCCCGCUCAUCCUGGUAUCGCCUAUGAUGUCGAGAAGCUGUGUGACCUCGGGAGGUGCCGGCUAAGUGCAUGUGAAACAGAACACUCAGUACAUCCUGUGUGUCCCAAGCCAGGCUCUGUCCUAUCCACUGGAGACGAAGGGGACACUCACCAAAGGCCACCUGGGACCUUGCCCAGCCUGCCUCCCAGACUCACACAAACCAGGCCUCUCAUCUCCUGGAGGAGCUGAGCUUCCUAACCAGAGGACUAUCUGGGUUCCAUUGGUUCCAGCCCAACCCUGGAGACAGUAUGAGGGUAUGAGGGAUUCUCUCCUGCCCUCUGCGUGGGACAGACCUCAGCAUGCCUGACGCAGACAAGACACCUCAGCAUUGGGCUCUCAUUGAAGUUGGUCUGUCUCUCUGUACAUGUGGGCCGCCAUCACCGCUGAGCUGGCCUCAGGACAAAGAGUCUGAAGUUUGACUACAUCCCUGCUGAGCCACCCUGAGCAACUGUCUUUGCCUCUCUGGGCCUCACUCCUCAUCUGAAAA